CUAAAUUGCAAGAAGGUAUUUAUUGUUUGGUUAUAAAUUAUGAACUAACAAAUAUAAUAACAAUUAUUGACAGAUUUUGUUGUGCCAGCUAUAUAUUCUUGUUUUCCUUAUCUUUUAGUUUCAUGCUUUUGUCUCUUGAAUUAUAUUCUAUUUUUCUUUUUUCUUUCCUAGUUCUCAAAACAAUCCAUUGUAGAACCAUCUCUUGACAUUUUAACAGUGUGGUUUAAUAUCUGAAAGAAUUAUCAAGGAAAACUUCUCAUAACUGAGGUUACAGUUUGAACAACUCACAUUUUUAAAACUACAUUGGGAAGUUAUCACUUAUGUCUGGUGAUGGAACUCAACAUCUGCAAGAAUGCAUGUUGGGAGAAUGCACAAUAUCCAGACUGAGAUUUCGGACUCUGAAAUGAAUUUUGUAAUCAAAUUGGAUUUGGUGAUUGUCUCACUCAGAGAAGUGUUGGAGCCUAAAAGUGAUGCUCAUUCUAUGGCAUCAUUAUGCUGUCUUAGUGAUGCUAUGGAAUGAGUGGGAAUGAGGAACUAAUUCUCAAAGUCAUGUUUCUUCUUACAACCUUCAAGGAAUAUCCUUACAGAAGGUAAGUUGGAUUAAAUACAUUUGUGAGAUAUUCCCUGCUUCAUUAGUUUUUCAUUUUAAUUUAUCCAAUAACUAGUUUUCAAGGACUAUUAUAUUUAAUUGUCUGUCUUCUUCCAGUCACACUUUUUCUCAGUCUCUUGCAGUUUGCCCUUUCAGUAAUGAGACUAGUAGAAUCUUU
rnacentral:lncRNA from 10 species